rnacentral:lncRNA from 1 species
GAGCAAAGCAUACACACCUGUGCAGAGUACCACACCUGUAAUCUUUCCCCAUAUUGAGCAUACCUGUGGCUUACAGUCAGGAAAAGCAGCAUCGGUGUGAUGAAUGUUAUGAAGGACAGCAGAGCUAUAGAGUGACUAUCACAUCUGACCAAAGGCAGAGCAGGCACAGCUUGCAAGUGGAAAAUCCGGAAACGCACACUGAAUUCUCAGCUAGAAAAAGCUCCCUCUGCAAUCAGCUGUUAGGAUAUCUGAAGAAAAACUGAAUAAAUUAAUAAGCCCUUGGUGUCCAUAGACUCAGACAAAAAGCCUCCUCUACCACUGAUGCAGCUGUUCUGGGAGGAAGUUUCACUGGAUACCCCCAAGAAAGCAAGUGUCACAUCAACCAACCACAUCAAGCAACCAGACAUGGAACAAGUUUUAAGGUCUCCCUCACUGAGCCUGUAAAUCUUAUUAUCUUCAGUAAGAAUAACAGUGCAUGCAGAGAACUCAUCACAAGCACAGCUAGGCAAACAGACAUAAAAUUGCUGGUUGUACGUCUGUGCAACAUGUUGUAGUGCUUGCGUCCACAUUGUUUGAAAUAAUGCAGAAAGAAGAGCAGGGGGAAAAAGAAAGAAUAAAAGAAAAAUAAAGAAUCCA